CGCGUAGGUGGUUUGAUAAGGGUGUGGUGAAAGCCCGGGGCUCAACCCCGGGUCUGCCGUGCCGACUGUCAAACUCGAGGGCUGUAGAGGCAGACGGAAUUCCGGGUGUAGCGGUGGAAUGCGCAGAUAUCAGGAGGAACACCGGUGGCGAAGGCGGAUCUCUGGGCCUGUCCUGACGCUCAGGCGCGAAAGCUAGGGGAGCAAACA
rnacentral:rRNA from 1 species